rnacentral:rRNA from 1 species
AUCCUGGCUCAGGACGAACGCUGGCGGCACGCCUAACACAUGCAAGUCGAACGGAGAUACAUUAGCUUGCUUUUGUAUCUUAGUGGCGGACGGGUGAGUAACACGUGAGCAACCUGCCUCUGAGAGAGGGAUAGCUUCUGGAAACGGAUGGUAAUACCUCAUAACAUAGAUGAGCCGCAUGACUUAUCUAUCAAACAUUUAUCACUCAGAGAUGGGCUCGCGUCUGAUUAGCUAGUUGGUGAGGUAACGGCCCACCAAGGCGACGAUCAGUAGCCGGACUGAGAGGUUGAACGGCCACAUUGGGACUGAGACACGGCCCAGACUCCUACGGGAGGCAGCAGUGAGGGAUAUUGCACAAUGGAGGAAACUCUGAUGCAGCGAUGCCGCGUGGAGGAAGAAGGUUUUCGGAUUGUAAACUCCUGUUUCGAGGGACGAUAAUGACGGUACCUCGGGAGGAAGCUCCGGCUAACUACGUGCCAGCAGCCGCGGUAAUACGUAGGGAGCGAGCGUUGUCCGGAAAUUACUGGGUGUAAAGGGAGCGCAGGCGGGAUUGCAAGUCAGGUGUGAAAUGCAGGGCUCACCCUGAGCUGCACCUUGAAACCUGUUAGUUCUCGAUCGUAAGUAGUAGGUUAAGCCGGGACU